rnacentral:rRNA from 1 species
UUGAACGCUGGCGGUAGGCUUAACACAUGCAAGUCGUGCGAGAAAGUAUCUUCGGAUAUGAGUAGAGCGGCGGACGGGUGAGUAACGCGUAGGAAUCUACCUAGUAGAAGGGGAUAGCCCGGGGAAACCCGGAUUAAUACCGUAUACCUCCUUCGGGAGAAGAAGGCCUCUCUUUGAAGCUUUCGCUACUAGAUGAGCCUGCGUAAGAUUAGCUUGUUGGUAGGGUAAAAGCCUACCAAGGCGACGAUCUUUAGCUGGUCUGAGAGGAUGAUCAGCCACAUCGGGACUGAGACACGGCCCAGACUCCUACGGGAGGCAGCAGUGGGGAAUCUUGC